rnacentral:rRNA from 1 species
AGAGUUUGAUCAUGGCUCAGGACGAACGCCGGCGGCGUGCUUAACACAUGCAAGUCGAACGGAAAGGCCCUUCGGGGUACUCGAGUGGCGAACGGGUGAGUAACACGUGGGUGAUCUGCCCUGCACUUUGGGAUAAGCCUGGGAAACUGGGUCUAAUACCGAAUAUGACCAUGCACUUCCUGGUGUGUGGUGGAAAGCUUUUGCGGUGUGGGGUGGGCCCGCGGCCUAUCAGCUUGUUGGUGGGGUAAUGGCCUACCAAGGCGACGACGGGUGGCCGGCCUGAGAGGGUGACCGGCCACACUGGGACUGAGAUACGGCCCAGACUCCUACGGGAGGCAGCAGUGGGGAAUAUUGCACAAUGGGCGCAAGCCUGAUGCAGCGACGCCGCGUGAGGGAUGACGGCCUUCGGGUUGUAAACCUCUUUCAGCACAGACGAAGCGCAAGUGACGGUAUGUGCAGAAGAAGGACCGGCCAACUACGUGCCAGCAGCCGCGGUAAUACGUAGGGUCCGAGCGUUGUCCGGAAUUACUGGGCGUAAAGAGCUCGUAGGUGGUUUGUCGCGUUGUUCGUGAAAACUCACAGCUUAACUGUGGGCGUGCGGGCGAUACGGGCAGACUUGAGUACUGCAGGGGAGACUGGAAUUCCUGGUGUAGCGGUGGAAUGCGCAGAUAUCAGGAGGAACACCGGUGGCGAAGGCGGGUCUCUGGGCAGUAACUGACGCUGAGGAGCGAAAGCGUGGGGAGCGAACAGGAUUAGAUACCCUGGUAGUCC